GUUGCUUCUCAAUGGUGAAUUCUCCCUUAUAUAAGUGGGAGAUUUUCAAGUUUCCGAAGCAUACAUUAAAAAAAUAACCAGUAUUAAACAGCGUAGUGUAAUACUUUAGCUACACUAUGUUACCUGUCUCCUGGUACAUUU
rfam:Cicer arietinum chromosome Ca6, whole genome shotgun sequence.